rnacentral:rRNA from 1 species
UACGGGGGGGAGCAAGCGUUGUUCGGAUUUACUGGGCGUAAAGGGCGCGUAGGCGGUCAGCACAAGUCAGUUGUGAAAUCUCCGGGCUUAACUCGGAAAGGUCAACUGAUACUGUGCGACUAGAGUGCAGAAGGGGCAACUGGAAUUCUCGGUGUAGCGGUGAAAUGCGUAGAUAUCGAGAGGAACACCGUCGGCGAAGGCGG